GCCAGAGUGGCGUACUGGUUUGUGUUGGACUAUGACUCUAGAAACAAGGGUUCAAAUCCCCACUCAGACA